rnacentral:misc_RNA from 1 species
GAUGAAGAACUCAGCGAAAUGCGAUAAGUAAUGUGAAUUGCAGAAUUCAGUGAAUCAUCGAAUCUUUGAACGCACAUUGCGCCCCCUGGUAUUCCGGGGGGCAUGCCUGUUCGAGCGUCAUUUCACCACUCAAGCCUCGCUUGGUAUUGGGCAACGCGGUCCGCCGCGUGCCUCAAAUCGACCGGCUGGGUCUUCUGUCCACUAAGCGUUGUGGAAACUUUCGCUAAAGGGUGUUCGGGAGGCUACGCCGUAAAACAACCCCAUUUCUAAGGUUGACCUCGGAUCAGGUAGGGAUACCCGCUGAACUUAAGCAUAUCAAUAAGCGGAGGA